rnacentral:rRNA from 1 species
AACGAACGCUGGCGGCGUGUCUUAAGCAUGCAAGUCGAGCGGCAAGGGCAGCAAUGCCCCUAGAGCGGCGGACGGGUGAGUAACACGUGGGUAACCUGCCUUAUAGAGGGGGAUAGCCUUCCGAAAGGAAGAUUAAUACCGCAUAACAUGUUUUUACUGCAUGGUAGAAACAUCAAAGGAGCAAUCCGCUAUAAGAUGGACCCGCGGCGCAUUAGCUAGUUGGUGAGGUAACGGCUCACCAAGGCGACGAUGCGUAGCCGACCUGAGAGGGUGAUCGGCCACAUUGGAACUGAGACACGGUCCAGACUCCUACGGGUGGCAG